rnacentral:rRNA from 1 species
CGGCAGCGCGGGAGCAAUCCUGGCGGCGAGUGGCGAACGGGUGAGUAAUACAUCGGAACGUGUCCUGUAGUGGGGGAUAGCCCGGCGAAAGCCGGAUUAAUACCGCAUACGCUCUACGGAGGAAAGGGGGGGAUCUUAGGACCUCUCGCUACAGGGGCGGCCGAUGGCAGAUUAGCUAGUUGGUGGGGUAAAGGCCUACCAAGGCGACGAUCUGUAGCUGGUCUGAGAGGACGACCAGCCACACUGGGACUGAGACACGGCCCAGACUCCUACGGGAGGCAGCAGUGGGGAAUUUUGGACAAUGGGCGCAAGCCUGAUCCAGCAAUGCCGCGUGUGUGAAGAAGGCCUUCGGGUUGUAAAGCACUUUUGUCCGGAAAGAAAACCUCUGGGUUAAUACCCCGGGGGGAUGACGGUACCGGAAGAAUAAGCACCGGCUAACUACGUGCCAGCAGCCGCGGUAAUACGUAGGGUGCAAGCGUUAAUCGGAAUUACUGGGCGUAAAGCGUGCGCAGGCGGUUUGCUAAGACAGAUGUGAAAUCCCCGGGCUUAACCUGGGAACUGCAUUUGUGACUGGCAGGCUAGAGUAUGGCAGAGGGGGGUAGAAUUCCACGUGUAGCAGUGAAAUGCGUAGAGAUGUGGAGGAAUACCGAUGGCGAAGGCAGCCCCCUG